rnacentral:rRNA from 1 species
GACGAACGCUGGCGGCGUGCUUAACACAUGCAAGUCGAACGGAAAGGCCCUGCUUUUGUGGGGUGCUCGAGUGGCGAACGGGUGAGUAACACGUGAGUAACCUGCCCUUGACUUUGGGAUAACUUCAGGAAACUGGGGCUAAUACCGGAUAGGAGCUCCUGCUGCAUGGUGGGGGUUGGAAAGUUUCGGCGGUUGGGGAUGGACUCGCGGCUUAUCAGCUUGUUGGUGGGGUAGUGGCUUACCAAGGCUUUGACGGGUAGCCGGCCUGAGAGGGUGACCGGCCACAUUGGGACGGAGAUACGGCCCAGACUCCUCGGGGAGGCAGAAGGGGGGAAUAUUGAAAAAGGGGGGGAAGCCUGAUGCAGCACCGCGGCGUGGGGGAGGACGGCCUUCGGUUUGUAAACCGCUUCCGCCUGGGAGGAAGCGUGAGGGAGGGUAAUGGGUAAAGAAGCACGGGCUAAGCCCGUG